rnacentral:rRNA from 1 species
CGCCUGUUUAUCAAAAACAUGUCUUUUUGAGUUAUUUUUAAAGUCUGACCUGCCCACUGAAGUUAUUUAAAUGGCCGCAGUAUUCUAACUGUGCAAAGGUAGCAUAAUCAUUAGUCUUUUAAUUGAAGGCUGGUAUGAACGGUUGGACGAGGUAUAAGCUGUUUCAUAUAAAUUUAUAAUAGAAUUUUAUAUUUUAGUCAAAAAGCUAAAAUUUAAUUAAAAGACGAGAAGACCCUAUAAAUCUUUAUACUUUACAUUGUUUAAAUUUUUUAGAUUAAUUUUAUUUUUAUAAUUUAAAGUAUUUUGUUGGGGUGAUAUUAAAAUUUAAUGAACUUUUAAUUAUUUAAAAUCAUUAAUUUAUGAGUUAUUGAUCCAUUAGUAGUGAUUAUAAGAUUAAGUUACUUUAGGGAUAACAGCGUAAUUUUUUUGGAGAGUUCAUAUCGAUAAAAAAGUUUGCGACCUCGAUGUUGGAUUAAGAUAUAUUUUUAGGUGUAGCC